GACAGCUUGACCAGCAAGUAUAUGGUUGAAGUGAUUCUAUGCUAGUUUCUGGAGCCAGGGUUUAAAUACUGGUGGAUUCCAUUUCCUGUGUUUUGUGAUUGCCCCUGGGAUCCAGCCACUGUGCUGUAAGAGGAAACCCACGCAGCAGCCCGUGGAGAGGCCCAUAUAAGAGAAACCCAAGCUCUCAGCCGUCAAUUGGCAUUAAUUUGCUGGUGCAGGAGCAAGUUACUUUGGAAGUAGAUCUUGUGGUCCACAAACAUGCUCUGUGGAGAAGCAAAGAACUGAUCUCACUGAGUCCUGCUCAAAUUGCGUCUACUGAAAGCUACCAACACUCUUAUAUUCAUGACCGGAUUCCUGAAUCUACAAAGUCAGCGAUAUCAGACUGAGAGUUCAUCCAUCCUGCUAUAUUUCUGCAAAAGUUGAAGUUAAUGAGAAUCCUGACCAAGACCGGGACCGUAAGUAAUGAAACUACUUGAUAAAUAAAGUGUGAAGAAACUUAUUUAAGGAUAUGAAUGUUGACGAUCUUACACAGCACCAUCACGUUUCUUGGAGAAGAGAAAUGUAAAGAAAUGUAACCUGUAACAGCACAAGGACAUUUGAAUUCUGUUUAUAUUGUUUUGUGUAUAAUAUUAUGAUUUUUCAGCUCUAAUUAGGAAACAAAUAUUGUUUUGAUGGCUCAGUUUUCUGCAAAGUGUGUUAUUAUUUUAAAGAUUAGAUUAAACAUUCUUACGUAAUUCCCAAGCCAUUUGUAUUUUUUAUUCUUGUGCUACUCACAGUAGAUCCAUUAGGUUGGAAAGUUUGUCGUGAUUGUUCGUCAGUGUCUUAUGUCACUCACAAGCCAGGUGGCAAACCAGUGAUAAGUGGGAAAUAGCACUUAGACAUACCUACCUUCUAGGUUCUAGAUCCUCUCAAUAAGUCAUGCGAUUUUGUAAAAGGAACUGUAAGAUCAUGUGUAUCACAUCCUCUCGUGUGUUUUGCAUGUGUAUAUUUUUGUGGUUAUUACUUUCUUUGCUCAGAUUCUAUUCAUAUCUGAAGUCAGAAGAAACAAUGACUUAAAACUAAUAAAAAC